UCCGUUAUAGUGGCCAACAUUAUCGCCUCUCAUCCGCUAGGAACAAGUGAGAAUCGCGAUAGCCCAGGGUUCGAUUCCCUGUAGCGGAA